GGCACUGGCUGUGUGAUUUUGGAUCCAUUUUUCUUUCAGGACCCUGAACAGUGAAUCAGAGUCAUGAAUGACGGACCUUUUUGCAGUAUGGAAUUUAGUACAAGUUAUAUAAAAUUACUACAAAAUAAUUUAGAAGAUGGAAAUGCAUAUGCCACUGAGAACAAUCAACAUAAGGUGAAUGAGAUCAAGAAUUUCAUCAUCAGCAUCUUAGCCAAGCAUCUGCUCCCCAGGAAGCCAAAUGUCUUUUUUAUAACACCGCACGUCUCCUUGUAUGUGUGUGUCGUCUGAAUACCACAUGUGCUUGAAUGUUCCUUGGGGCCUACACUGCUGCAAUGCAAAUAAAUUGUCCCCAGGAUAACGGAUCCCAGGAAUUAGCUGGGGAACUUUUAAAAGAUCUAAGUCCCCAACUUUCAUCGAGACUCAUUUCAUCAGGCCGAGAGUCAUGAGCUUCUUAAAUAUCUUCCUCCUAGGGAUCUUGUGAUCUGUUUUAGGAACCACCAACAGGCCUCAUAAACUGCAGUUCCAUGGUCUGGUGUUAUAUGUUCGUACCUUUCCUUCUGACCAUGUUACCGUCUCAGCAGGAUGAGGGACUGGCACGCUUCCCUGGGCUUUAUAGAAUUCUACAUUAACACGAGCAGGAGCAACAUGUUAAUAGAGAUGUUGGAUUUUGAUUCUGGAAACUCAGAACAGAGGAUCUGGUGUUUUUUGGUUCAUCCUUCAUUAAUCAGUUUCUAACAUAAGACCUAUUUUCAGGUUUGGCUCAAAGUAGGGGACUCAAAAUUUAGGGCAGAGGAGGCAGGAAAAUGAGGUAACCUGCUUAUUCAUUAUCUGACCACUUCCUCAAACGAGGUUCCCCCAAGAAGAAUUUAAGUAAAUCCACUAAUUGAUUGCUAAUUACCAGUUGCUUGCUAAAUUAUGUAAUCAUUUACUUUAUUUAAAAAAUUAAAUCAGCAAAUAUUUACUAAGCAUUUACAGGAAACAGAGUCCUGUGCUUGCCAUGGGGCAGUAGCUUAGGAACUGUAACUUAUUCAUUUGGAAAGGACAAGGAGAAGGCAGAACAUCAGUCUGAUGGGUGACUUGUGUUUAAAGAAAUGGUUUUGAAUGUAG
rnacentral:lncRNA from 1 species